CAGAAAGUUAGAUUUUCAGUUAACAGAGUACUAAAUUUUAAAAUACCACAUACAAAGAAAAUUCUCAAAGACAGCUACUAUUAUUAAUAAUAUUAAUAACAGCAUUUGAUUUCUUGUGGGAUCGUUUUUCUUCAUUUUUACUGAAUGAAUUUUUAAAAAUACAAAUUUGAUUUUCUGAGGUCGCAUUCUAUCAAAACGACACAUUACUAUACAGAGUUAAUGAAAGGCAAUAGUUUUAACAAAUGAAUAGGGAAAGUCCAACAAAUGGGAAUGGACAAGCUGGUUUAAGCAGAAAUAAGAAUUGUCCCAAUCUCAUUUUUAUCCCUAAGGAUCUUAAUUGGACUUCUGACAAAAGAGUAAGACAGCAUUGGUCUAAACAAGAGAGGUUCUUCUUCCAAAGGUGGGAGACUGUCUAAUCUGCUGAAGAAUAAGGAGAAAGGACGACCAUUUGGUGCUAGACACCUAACUGGAAUGUGUGCUCCUCCCUAGAGAAGACUACUCCUUCCACUCUCAGUGCUCCCCAGUGGACCCAGCUACAAAGCAGCAAACUGAAGAAUGUCAUCUUCUCCAAGUGAGUGGGUCUCAUCGGCUUCACUGAAACCAAAUGAAGAUGAAGUUCUCCACCAGGUUUCCAAAUCCUCGGUUCGUGGAACCCCACGCAAGUAGGA